UACGGAGGGGGCAAGCGUUGUUCGGAUUUAUUGGGCGUAAAGCGCGUGUAGGCGGUACGGUAAGUCGGAUGUUAAAGACCCACGGCUCACCCGGGGGAGUGCGUUCGAUACUGCCGUGCUAGAGUGCAGGAGAGGAAAGUGGAAUUCCUGGUGUAGCGGUGAAAUGCGUAGAUAUCAGGAGGAACACCGGUGGCGAAGGCGGCUUUCUGGCCCGUAACUGACGCUGAGACGCGAAAGCAUGGGGAGCGAACGGGAUUAGAUACCCCGGUAGUCCAUGCCGUAAACGUUGGAUACUAGGUGUUGGAGGUUUUCUACCCCUUCAGUGCCGCAGCUAACGCAUUAAGUAUCCCGCCUGGGGAGUACGACCGCAAGGUUGAA
rnacentral:rRNA from 1 species